rnacentral:rRNA from 1 species
UGGGGAAUAUUGCACAAUGGAGGGAACUCUGAUGCAGCGACGCCGCGUGAACGAAGAAGGCUUUCGAGUCGUAAAGUUCUUUUAUAUGGGAAGAUAAUGACGGUACCAUAAGAAAAAGCCCCGGCUAACUACGUGCCAGCAGCCGCGGUAAUACGUAGGGGGCUAGCGUUGUCCGGAAUCACUGGGCGUAAAGGGUUCGCAGGCGGAAAUGCAAGUCAGGUGUAAAAGGCAGUAGCUUAACUACUGUAAGCAUUUGAAACUGCAUAUCUUGAGAAGAGUAGAGGUAAGUGGAAUUUUUAGUGUAGCGGUGAAAUGCGUAGAUAUUAAAAAGAAUACCGGUGGCGAAGGCGACUUACUGGGCUCAUUCUGACACUGAGGAACGAAAGCGUGGGUAGCAAACAGG